ACACUAAGGCGCAAGGCAGCUGCACAUCCACGGCCAGCCUCGUUGUCUUCAGGGAUUUGUUCAAAGUUCAUUCUGAAUUGUAAGGUAACCACUGCAGAACACGAGCCUUUCCUGGGUAUGUGUGGUUAUUUCUGCCCUUCACGGUCCCACUCAAGUCCUGCCUCCCUCAGGGAGACCUCCCAGACCUCACCAAGCCGUGGGCACGUGGACCAGAAGCCGUGGACCCCAGAGGCUCAUUUAGGGAUCUGCUUUCUGAACCCAGGUCCUAACAUCUGCACUGCAGCGAGCAUUUCUGGUGCCUCAAGUGAGUCACUCCAACUUCCAGCUCACUGAGAGGCGAUGGAGCACUGAGUGCCAGCAUCUUCCAGCACCAGAGGAGCUGACUCUGAAUAGACAGCUCGGCAGCGGCCUCAGCACAGAGCAGGGGAGCCACCAGCCACAGGCAGCCACUGAGCCCUUGGCAUGUAACCCGGUAACCCAUGCAACAGAAGACCUGAGCGUCCAGUGUUGCUAGCUUGAAGUAACUUCAGUGGUGUUCCCCAGCGUUUUUCUCAUCCCCCUCCCUUCCCUUCCCCUACAGCUUUCUUCCUCUUUCCCCUCCUUCUGAGUCUUUCGUCCCCAGUCCUGGGAACCUUUUUUCUGACUUGGUGUUUUCUCCUGAAUGCCUCCUUCCUGGCCCCCUAAUCAGAAAUGCAGAAGCCACCUGCCCCACACAGGGGGCCACUUUCCCUGCAUCUGGCACUCACCAGGACAGUCAUAGAACUGGCCUUGGGUGCUUGGGGAGAGUGGAGAGGUCUGGGGGGCAUCCACUGGCCUCAGCCUCAGAGCUUCUCAUCAGUAACCCAGGAGGCAAAGGCCCAGCUCAAGAUUAGCCCAGGCCACUGUAUCUGUGCCAAGACCUACAGCUGUCCCUGCAGGGCGUGCAUCUCUGCAGCCCAGGCUAUCACAAUGGUGUCCCUUUUGGUGGGGAUGUGAGGCCUGCUGCUGCCUGGGAAGAAGCUGACAGGAUUGUUGGUGCUGUGGGGAGAAGCUGGUGUAACUGAGACCCAUGAGGGAGGCCCUUUGUGGGUCUGUGGCUGGGAGGAGCUCUGGGGAAGAUGGGCCUUGAGAAAUCCCAGCUUAGCACCUUUGACAGUUGCUCCACUGAGUCACCCUAGACUGCAAUCUCACAGAUGUUCUAACCACCCUCUCCCUGGGGAGCCCUUGGGGGUGCUGCAAGCCCAGUCCUCACUCACUGGCUUUGUGCUUCUCUUCCCGACUUCCUUUUUUUGCUCCUGUUGAGAAAUGUGGGUCCAGGGCUGCGUGCUCCAGUGUGCGGAAGGAAGGGCAGCGUGCUCUUUGGACUGAGCUGGCUCAAGGGAAGCUGGGUCUGAGGGGAGACUGACCUCGACCCUUCUUAAAUGAAACACCUUUUCCCUGCGUCUCAGUCACCGUUACCUGGCCUGAUCACUGUGUGCCACACCCCAUCACAUCCAUCCCCACAAGAAUGCCAGGAGGAGGGGUCAUUGGCCUUUUUGUCAGCACAAACCUCUGGAGGCCCAGCUCCCAAGACCCGCCAGGCACACCUGCCAGAGUGCCUUAACUUGGGAUGUCUGCAAACCUCUGUCCAUGGCCGAACCCACCCCACUGCCUGUUACUGUAAAUAAAGGUCUAUUAGCAUGCCACCAUGCCCCUCCUCCGAUGCAUACAGUGCCCAGCUCAGCACCUGGUGCAAGUAAGCACAAUCUGGCUUCCAGCCAUCACUGCUGUUGCUACUAACACAAAUAUUAGGCCCCUUCUAGAAUGCAAAGAUAACCCAGGGCUGCUCGUUCUGUGUCCAGAUCACAGAGUUUUUCUUUUUAUCCUUAUCAACUUUAUUGAGGGAUAAUUUACAGGCAAUAAAUCAUAUCCAUUUAA
rnacentral:lncRNA from 1 species